rnacentral:rRNA from 1 species
CUACGGGUCGCUCCAGUAAGGAAUAUUGGUCAAUGGACGCAAGUCUGAACCAGCCAUGCCGCGUGCAGGAAGACGGUCCUCUGGAUUGUAAACUGCUUUUGUUAGGGAAGAAACCCCUGGAUGCGUCCGGGGCUGACGGUACCUAAAGAAUAAGGAUCGGCUAACUCCGUGCCAGCAGCCGCGGUAAUACGGAGGAUCCAAGCGUUAUCCGGAUUUAUUGGGUUUAAAGGGUGCGUAGGCGGCGUUGUAAGUCAGUGGUGAAAGUUUGCAGCUUAACUGUAAAAUUGCCAUUGAUACUGCAGUGCUAGAGUAUAGAUGAGGUGGGCGGAAUGUGUCAUGUAGCGGUGAAAUGCAUAGAUAUGACACAGAACACCGAUUGCGAAGGCAGCUCACUAAACUAUAACUGACGCUGAGGCACGAAAGCGUGGGGAUCAAACAGGAUUAGAUACCCUAGUAGUC